AUUGAACGCUGGCGGCAUGCUUUACACAUGCAAGUCGAACGGCAGCACGGGUGCUUGCACCUGGUGGCGAGUGGCGAACGGGUGAGUAAUGCAUCGGAACGUGCCCAUGAGUGGGGGAUAGCCCGGCGAAAGCCGGAUUAAUACCGCAUACGCCCUUAGGGGAAAGCGGGGGAUCUUCGGACCUCGCGCUAUUGGAGCGGCCGAUGUCGGAUUAGCUAGUAGGUGAGGUAAAGGCUCACCUAGGCGACGAUCCGUAGCUGGUCUGAGAGGAUGAUCAGCCACACUGGGACUGAGACACGGCCCAGACUCCUACGGGAGGCAGCAGUGGGGAAUUUUGGACAAUGGGCGCAAGCCUGAUCCAGCCAUGCCGCGUGAGUGAAGAAGGCC
rnacentral:rRNA from 1 species